rnacentral:rRNA from 1 species
GACGAACGCUGGCGGCGUGCUUAACACAUGCAAGUCGAACGGAAAGGCCCUGCUUUUGUGGGGUGCUCGAGUGGCGAACGGGUGAGUAACACGUGAGUAACCUGCCCUUUACUUUGGGAUAACUUCAGGAAACUGGGGCUAAUACCGGAUAGGAGCUCCUGCUGCAUGGUGGGGGUUGGAAAGUUUCGGCGGUUGGGGAUGGACUCGCGGCUUAUCAGCUUGUUGGUGGGGUAGUGGCUUACCAAGGCUUUGACGGGUAGCCGGCCUGAGAGGGUGACCGGCGACAUUGGGACUGAGAGACGGCCCAGACUCCUACGGGAGGCAGCAGUGGGGAAUAUUGCACAAUGGGCGGAAGCCUGAUGCAGAAACGCCGCGUGCGGGAUGACGGCCUUCGGGUUGUAAACCGCUUUCGCCUGUGACGAAGCGUGAGUGACGGUAAUGGGUAAAGAAGCACCGGCUAACUACGUG